rnacentral:rRNA from 1 species
GACGAACGCUGGCGGCGUGCUUAACACAUGCAAGUCGAACGGAAAGGCCCUGCUUGCAGGGUCCUCGAGUGGCGAACGGGUGAGUAACACGUGGGUGAUCUGCCCUGCACUUCGGGAUAAGCCUGGGAAACUGGGUCUAAUACCGGAUAGGAGCCAUUCUUAUUGUGGUGGUUGGAAAGUUUUUUCGGUGUAGGGUGAGCUCGCGGCCUAUCAGCUUGUUGGUGGGGUAAUGGCCUACCAAGGCGGCGACGGGUAGCCGGCCUGGGAGGGUGGACGGCCACAUUGGGACUGAGAUACGGCCCAGGCUCCUACGGGAGGCAGCAGGGGGGAAGAUUGCACAAUGGGCGCAAGCCUGAUGCAGCGACGCCGCGUGGGGGAUGACGGCCUUCGGGGUGUAAACGCCGUUCGCUAGGGACGAAGCUUUUUGUGACGGUACCUAGAUAAGAAGCACCGGCUAACUACGUG